GAGGGUAUAGCUCAGUGGUAGAGUGUGUUCUUAGCAUUCAUGAGGUCCUGGGUUCAAUUCCAGGUACCUCCA
rnacentral:tRNA from 1 species